GCCCAGUGAAAUUUUAAACGGCCGCGUUAGCGUGAGCGUGCUAAGGUAGCGUAAUAAUUAGCCUUUUAAUUGGAGGCCAGUGAAUGGCAAGACUAGGAACACCUUUACUUUGUGUACAAAAAAAACUUUUCGUCUAAGUGAAAAGACUUAGAUAAUAAAGGUAGACGAAAAGACCCCGCGGAACUUUACCUUUUCCUGUACUACAGUAUAUUUGCUUAAAAGUAUUUAAGGUUUGAUUGGGGCAAUCUUGGAACCAACAAAGCUUCCAAUUUUUUAAAAAACCCAUUUAAAACUUAUUAUGGACCAAAAAGAAGUUACCCCGGGGAUAACAGCGUAAUCCAACUAAAGAGUACAUAUCGAAAGUUGGGUUUGCGACC
rnacentral:rRNA from 1 species